GUAUGAGAGAUUACAACCGUUGAGUGCCCAUUCAUAUAGUGCAGGGAUGAGGAACAAGGAUCGUGAAUGUAAUGGACCUCGAAAACAAAAUAGAAGCUCAUCUAUCUAAUGCCUCGUGUUUUACAUAUCACAACAGAAUGGAAAAGAGAGGUGAGGCCACCUACCCAUCACUAUCAAGGGAUUACCUUCAGCACUUAAAAAGCAGAGGAAAACCAGCAGUCCUUUGCGGUUCAUUGAAUGUGCUGGUGUUGGGGGUUCAAGACUCUAAACCACAACAGAACCUGCCUUCUUACUCCACUUGUUGAUUUGGUGGGCUUGUCUUCCAGUGAUGUUACUGCCGAUCACAGAGUUAUAGAACAGAAGCCUAAGUACCAGACAUUGCCCAGGCAUAAUUUUAUAAUGGUAUACGAUAACAAAGCAAAUACGUAUGUGCUUUUUAAACAUUGUGACUACAGCUUGUUGUGUUGUGAGCUGUAGUCCUGAUGUGUGGCUCUGUUGGGGUACUUGGGUGCCAUCGGGGAAGCUGCAGUUGAAUACCAUCCUUACUUUGAGAGGCUUCAGUCUGGCCCUGGAAGUGCUUCUGAAAGACAAAGCUCUGACGCCAGAGGUACUCCUGAGUCCAAGAUAAAAGAAGAAGAAGAGGAAGAGGAUGACACUCACAUAGGAGGAGUGGAAGGAGACAGAUGUGUGUGCCAGACCGAAUAGAAGGCCUGUUCAGGUACUUGGAGAUAAAUGAAAGAACUUUAACCUAAAACUGUGUAUGUGGGAGUUGUGCCUGGCAUUUAGGGUGCCCCCUUGUGUCCACAAUAGGUAAUAAAUAAUAA